UUGCUGUCGAAUAAAAAAGUACACGGCUACUUGGGAAAGCAAAACCAACGAGCCCACUGGAACGAGUGAGACGAGAGGAAAAACCAUGGAAACCCUCAACUUUCUAAUGUUCCGCUACCCCCUACUUUUACUUGAGAAGAAACUUGGGUUUCUUCGAGAUUCUACAUUUCAUAGGGCCUUCAGGGGGGUAGCAGAAACGGAUGCAACAACGGAUAAUCAUCAACAUCAUGCGGAGGUUCAUCGGAGGAAGAUUUGCUGGAUCAACGAGGCUCAUGUCAACCUCAAGCAGGGCCCUUGGUUGGUGGGACCAUGUGAAACCAGCUCCUAAAGACCCCAUCAUUGGUGUCACGGAGGCUUUUCUUGCUGACACUAACCCCAACAAGAUCAAUCUUGGAGUGGGAGCUUACAGGGAUAAUGAGGGGAAACCGGUAGUUCUACAAUGUAUUCGAUAUGCGGAUUCAAAGAUUGCUGGUUGCGAGUUCCUGGAGUCAAAUGCUACUGAAGUGGGUUCAAAGUUGGUCGAGGAGAGUGUGAAACUGGCUUAUGGAAAACAUGCCCAUCUCCUAAAGGACGGGAGGGUUGCUGGACUUCAAGCGCUCUCUGGUACUAGUGCCUGUCGACUGUUUGCUGAGUUGCAGAGGCGUUUCUAUCCUGAAUCACCAAUUUAUUUGCCUGAUUUUACUUGGUCCAACCAUCACAAUAUAUGGAGAGAUGCUCAAGUUCCAGAAAGAAGCUUCCGCUACUACCAUCCCAUUUCAAAGCGUUUAAACUUUGCAGCUCUAAUGGAUGAUGUCGAGAAUGCCCCGGAUGGUUCUUUUUUCUUGUUUCAUCCUUGUGCUCACAACCCAACUGGGGUUGACCCAACUGAAGAACAAUGGAGGGAAAUCUCAAACAAGUUUAAGGUAAAGAAUCACUUUCCCUUCUUUGACAUGGCUUACCAAGGCUUUGCAAGUGGAGAUCUUGAUGUGGAUGCCCUACCAAUCCGGAUUUUUCUUGAAGAUGGACAUCUAAUAGGCUGUGCUCAAUCGUUUGCCAAAAACAUGGUAUUACAUGGACACCGAGUUGGUUGUCUCAGUGUCCUAUGUGAUGAUGUGAAGCAAGCGGUUGCAGUUAAAAGUCAACUGCAGCAGAUUGCCAGGACAACCUACAGCAAUCCUCCUGUUCACGGUAUAUCGUUGGUCUCGACAAUCUUGAGUGAUCCACAGACCAAGGUCCUCUGGUUCAAAGAGGUGAAGGUCAUGGCAAAUCGUAUUAAACAAAUGCGGAUUACUCUACGUGAAACUCUUGAGAAGUUGGGUGGUCCUGUCAGCUGGGAGCACAUAACUAACCAGGUUGGGAUGUUUUGCUUCUCUGGAUUAACACCUGAUGAGAUUGAUCGUCUAGUAAGGGAAUUCCACGUAUACAUUACUCCAGAUGGACGUAUGAGCAUGGCGGGUGUAAACACAAGUAAUGUGAAUUACUUGGCAAAUGCACUACAUGAAGUUACGAGAUAUGAACGAGAAGCAGGAACUAUCAGUAGCGUCAGUCUCUAGUAUCUCAUUUAUAUACAGUCUAUGCAAUGUUGCUUACUACAAAUAUUCAGUGUCAGAUAUCGUUAUUUGUGUCCAAAAUACUAACAUACAAAUGAUGGCCAUACGCGCACGUGGAACAACUGGCCAGGACACUCUCAUGCAAGUUGCUAGCACUGCAGAGAAGCCAUCAUCAACAUUUACACCCCUUUCUAUCUUUGUUUUACUUUGCUUGAGAUUCUCCGGCCUCCUCUUGCUUGAUUAAAAUACGAAGAAUAAAACCCUUUGGUACAUGUUUCUUGUUACCAUUUCCUUUCUUCUUGGCACGUCUCAGGGGGACACGAAACGGCCAACUAUGGACCAUACUCUAUAUAUAUUAUGUCGUCAUUAACUUUUCUUCCAUCAAAGUACCAAGGAAAUAGUUCCUUAAAAAAUGCAUAUAGAAACAAAAUCGACGACAAAUGUGAAAGUCGAAACUUAUAACACAGCAGCAUCAUGUGCCGUGAACAGAUUUUGAAGUUGAUCAGCUUUGAAUUUUGUUUUUCAAAAUUCAAGAAUGGAAUAAAUGGGUGGAUGAAUUUGGGUUACAUAUCCAUGUUGUUCAAUUAUGUUACGUCCAUGAAAAUCUGCAGGGUACUUGAAUUGAACCAAUUGUAUUCGAGUGAUAAAAAAGAAAAGAAAAACAAAAGAAAGAAAAUACACACACAUACAGCCUUCCCCCUUCAGAAAAAGAGACAAAACUUUCAAUACGGGACGGAGACAAAACAGAAGCAAAAGA